rnacentral:rRNA from 1 species
GACGAACGCUGGCGGCGGGCUUAACACAUGCAAGUCGAACGGAAAGGCCCUGCUUUUGUGGGGUGCUCGAGUGGCGAACGGGUGAGUAACACGUGAGUAACCUGCCCUUGACUUUGGGAUAACUUCAGGAAACUGGGGCUAAUACCGGAUAGGAGCUCCUGCUGCAUGGUGGGGGUUGGAAAGUUUCGGCGGGUGGGGAUGGACUCGCGGCUUAUCAGCUUGUUGGUGGGGGAGUGGCUUACCAAGGCUUUGACGGGUAGCCGGCCUGAGAGGGUGACCGGCCACAUUGGGCCUGAGAUACGGACCAGACUCCUACGGGAGGCAACAGUGGGGAAUAUUGCACAAUGGGCGGAAGCCUGAUGCAGCAACGCCGCGUGCGGGAUGACGGCCUUCGGGUUGUAAACCGCUUUCGCCUGUGACGAAGCGUGAGUGACGGUAAUGGGUAAAGAAGCACCGGCUAACUACGUG